rnacentral:rRNA from 3 species
CAGUCGAACGAACUCUGGUAUUGAUUGGUGCUUGCAUCAUGAUUUACAUUUGAGUGAGUGGCGAACUGGUGAGUAACACGUGGGAAACCUGCCCAGAAGCGGGGGAUAACACCUGGAAACAGAUGCUAAUACCGCAUAACAACUUGGACCGCAUGGUCCGAGUUUGAAAGAUGGCUUCGGCUAUCACUUUUGGAUGGUCCCGCGGCGUAUUAGCUAGAUGGUGAGGUAACGGCUCACCAUGGCAAUGAUACGUAGCCGACCUGAGAGGGUAAUCGGCCACAUUGGGACUGAGACACGGCCCAAACUCCUACGGGAGGCAGCAGUAGGGAAUCUUCCACAAUGGACGAAAGUCUGAUGGAGCAACGCCGCGUGAGUGAAGAAGGGUUUCGGCUCGUAAAACUCUGUUGUUAAAGAAGAACAUAUCUGAGAGUAACUGUUCAGGUAUUGACGGUAUUUAACCAGAAAGCCACGGCUAACUACGUGCCAGCAGCCGCGGUAAUACGUAGGUGGCAAGCGUUGUCCGGAUUUAUUGGGCGUAAAGCGAGCGCAGGCGGUUUUUUAAGUCUGAUGUGAAAGCCUUCGGCUCAACCGAAGAAGUGCAUCGGAAACUGGGAAACUUGAGUGCAGAAGAGGACAGUGGAACUCCAUGUGUAGCGGUGAAAUGCGUAGAUAUAUGGAAGAACACCAGUGGCGAAGGCGGCUGUCUGGUCUGUAACUGACGCUGAGGCUCGAAAGUAUGGGUAGCAAACAGGAUUAGAUACCCUGGUAGUCCAUACCGUAAACGAUGAAUGCUAAGUGUUGGAGGGUUUCCGCCCUUCAGUGCUGCAGCUAACGCAUUAAGCAUUCCGCCUGGGGAGUACGGCCGCAAGGCUGAAACUCAAAGGAAUUGACGGGGGCCCGCACAAGCGGUGGAGCAUGUGGUUUAAUUCGAAGCUACGCGAAGAACCUUACCAGGUCUUGACAUACUAUGCAAAUCUAAGAGAUUAGACGUUCCCUUCGGGGACAUGGAUACAGGUGGUGCAUGGUUGUCGUCAGCUCGUGUCGUGAGAUGUUGGGUUAAGUCCCGCAACGAGCGCAACCCUUAUUAUCAGUUGCCAGCAUUAAGUUGGGCACUCUGGUGAGACUGCCGGUGACAAACCGGAGGAAGGUGGGGAUGACGUCAAAUCAUCAUGCCCCUUAUGACCUGGGCUACACACGUGCUACAAUGGAUGGUACAACGAGUUGCGAACUCGCGAGAGUAAGCUAAUCUCUUAAAGCCAUUCUCAGUUCGGAUUGUAGGCUGCAACUCGCCUACAUGAAGUCGGAAUCGCUAGUAAUCGCGGAUCAGCAUGCCGCGGUGAAUACGUUCCCGGGCCUUGUACACACCGCCCGUCACACCAUGAGAGUUUGUAACACCCAAAGUCGGUGG